rnacentral:misc_RNA from 1 species
GGCAGAGAUGGCUCACAUGUCAGAGGAAACAAAAGAGGAUAAGGAUAGUUAUGGGGUCGUGGAUACUGGGGUUAACGUGCCAGGAGUGAAUAUGGAAACAGAGACUAAAAUGGAGGCUGUUGUUAACUUAGUAGAGGACUCUGGGAAGGCAGUGGUAGCGGAUGUCACUUGCACGAUGGAGGGAUCAGUAAUGGUGGAUAAGGAUGUGAAGAAGAGGGACGUGGUAGAGGAAACAAAGGAGGAGGCUGCUGACACCGCAGAAGAGGCAGAGAUGGCUCAUAUGUCAGAGGAAACAAAGGGGGCAGCUUUCGAUACGGCAGAAGAGGCAGAGAUGGCUGACAUGGCAGAGGAUACCGUGGAGGUGGAGGAGGAG